rnacentral:misc_RNA from 1 species
AGAAAAUAUUUUUUUUGAAAAAUGGUUAUACUGGUUCUAAAAUGAAGAUUUGGAUCUGGAGUGUAUGAGGUGAAAUGACCAGGAAUUCUAGAAUAAUGGUGGGACAUUCUAGAACUAUGGUGGAGCAUUCUGGAACAAUGGCGGAGCAUUCUGGAACAAUGGCGGAGCAUUCUGGAACAAUGGCGGAGCAUUCUGGGACAAUGGUGGAGAAUUCUAGAUUAUUGGAGGAAAAUGGACUCUUUGAAGAGCAUGGUGAUGGCGAGGAAGCUUACUAUAUUGCUGAUGAUGGCAGACUUUUUGCUCUCUCUCAGAAUAUUCCUCUUGCUGCUGACUCUAGGAUCCAUGAGAUGCGUGAAAUCGGUCUCCGAACCUCUAUAGAGGACGGCCUUCAACCCGUCCACAGUUUACAAGUCUCCCAACCCUCAGAGGGCACUGGGCACAAGGAAAUCCGCCAGAUUCUCCUGCAGGGAUCAGAGAUGGUCCAAGCUAUCCAUGAAAUCCCCGGAAUCCAAGAAGUCCGUGAAAAUCCAUUUUCCGCCUCGGUUAAUAACGAAGGAAUGCCCGGGAUUCAGUUGCCAACUGUUGGAGUUCUAGAAGAUAUAGAGACCGGCACAUUUACUCAUGCUCAGGUUGCGGAUAAGCUUAAUGGAAAUAAUAUAACUAUUCCUCUGUCUACGGAUUCUACAGAUCAAUUCUAUUUUCUGGACAACAAUAAGAAAAUGGCAACCCUGGAGGAUUUUGUCGAGGUGUUCACAAUAUACAAGUGUAAAGGCUGUGAUUUUACCAGUGGUGAAAGAGAUGCACUUCAUUCUCACAUUGAGACUACUCAUUUGAGUUCUGCUCCUGAGUCCAGUACUCAAAAGACCCUGGAGCAGUUUCCUCCGGACGAACACAACCCAGUAGGUUCGGAGAACGUAGAGAACCCAGAACUUAACGCUAUGCUUAUCAUAUCUGACGUUAAUAAUAUCAAGUAUAACAUGGAGAGCAGGACGGAGACUAUGAUCCUGGAUGAGCUUCCAGCUGAGAGAUCUAGCUCCUACCCUUUCUUCAAGUUCUUCCUGGUCAAGGAGCAGAAAGAGAUAUUUAUUUGUACACGUUGCAGUGUUUGUAUGGCUUCCGAGGAAAAAAUGAAGAUUCACUCUGCUCGGGAUGGAUGUACGGACUCCAAGUGUAAUAACUGCGGUGUACGGUUCAAUACACAGUCAGAGUACAACAAUCAUAUUAUCAAGUGCAAGGUUGCUGUUUUCAAGAUCAAAGAUAAACCCCCACCAGUUACAGGGAACCAGGAGGACAGGAAUACAAUUCUCUCCAGUAUACCAGAAGAGCAGGAGGGUGAUGAUAUAUCUCUAGUAGAUCAGUUCUAUAAGGUUGCAGAUACUGGUCCGGAGAAAGGAGGAGAGGACGAGUAUAUAGGAGAGGAAUACAAGAUCUCCAGGUUGAGAAGGAACAGGACCAAUCUAGAAGUGGAUGGAGAGAAUAGGGUUUGGGUCUGCUCAACUAAAAGCUGUCAUGCUAUCUUCAAGGAGGAGAAAAACCUGGACUACCACAUCUCAUGUCACAAGGAAGACUGCAUGGAGUGCCAAGAGUGCAAGAAAGAGUUUGCCAGGUGGCCUGAUCUCUUCCAGCAUCUGUGGCGUGAGCAUGAGAAGGAUUGUGAUAUGUAUCAAUGUAUCCAGUGUAUGACCUACAAGACCAGCACUGUCAACGCCCUGGAGAAGCAUUGUCAGACCCACGCCAAUCUGAAACUGUACCAGUGUGAUAUCUGCUACAAGGGGUUCAACCAGCAGGUUCAGCUCACCAACCACUCGGUCCGACAUCUCAGAGAGUCCAUGGUUGAGCUCCCCAACUGGGCUACACCCAAGCGGUGUGAGAUCUGCCAGAAAGUGUGCUCUGACAGUAAAAGUUUGAAGAAGCAUGUGCAGGCAGUGCACUCGAAGCUGAAGCCGUAUAUCUGUCAGAUCUGUGGGUAUAAAACUGCCCGGAAAGGGAAUCUUCUGCUUCAUGUUAGGCAGCACUCGGGGGAGAAACCUUAUAGUUGUGAUGAGUGUAGUUACAGGACGGGAGAUCAUAAUUCACUCAGGCGUCACAAGAAAAUACAUGCUGGAGAUAAACCAAACAAAUGUCAUUUAUGUUCAUUUUCAACCAUACAAUCCAGUAACUUGAAGGCUCAUCUUCUCAACAAACAUCAUCUUACUCCAGACGGAAAGAAAGUAGAGCCGCCAUCCAAGAAAAGAGUGAUCUCGACGUCUAAAGAGAAAGGUCGAGCGGAGAAACGAGGACAAGAACUAACACUCUCGGAGAAACCUAGAAGAGAUCUCACUCUUACAGACUCUCUAGACUCAUUACUGGAGAUGUCGGAGAGGAAUGGGAUAAAUCUUCUCUCUGAUACAUCCUAGGCAUUCGCUCUACCUAUUACAAUUUAAAAUUUCACUCCUUAUCAGUAUUUAAAGUCCCUUUAAUGUGAUGUAUACUAAAUACACGAGUUUAAAGAUGAAAUAAAU